rnacentral:rRNA from 1 species
CCUACGGGUGGCAGCAGUAGGGAAUAUUGCUCAAUGGGGGAAACCCUGAAGCAGCAACGCCGCGUGGGGGAUGACGGUUUUCGGAUUGUAAACUCCUUUUGUUCGGGGAGCUAAUGACGGUAUCUGACGAAUAAGCACCGGCUAACUCCGUGCCAGCAGCCGCGGUAAUACGGCGGGUGCAAGAGUUACUCGGAAUAACUGGGCGUAAAGAGCGCGUAGGCGGGAUAGCAAGUCAGAUGUGAAAUCCUAUGGCCUAACCAUAGAACUGCAUUUGAAACUGUUAUUCUAGAGUAUGGGAGAGGUAGGUGGAAUUCGUGGUGUAGGGGUAAAAUCCGUAGAGAUCAAGAGGAAUACUCAUUGCGAAGGCGACCUGCCAGAACAUAACUGACGCUGAUGCGCGAAAGCGUGGGGAGCAAACAGGAUUAGAUACCCGAGUAGUC